rnacentral:tRNA from 1 species
GGAGAUUUAGCUCAGUGGUAGAGCACUUGCCUAGCAAGCGAAAGGCCCUGGGUUCGGUCCCCAGCUCCG